GCCACGGCAAGACUCCGCCGUCAGUUCUUCCAAGGUACACGCUCAAGGUUGCACGCUCGCCGCUUCUCGUCGGGGGGAUACUAGCCUUUCUCCUUCCUCCACGUUGUUGUUGUUGUUGUUGUGUGUCUCGAGACUCCGAGCGGUGGACUGUUCGUAGCCAAGACCCGGAACUUACGUAAAUGAGCAGAAACGCCCGCGAUCCGGCGCCAAGACAAGGGAGAAAACAGCGUGACAAAUUCUAGUCGAGGAGGAAGAAGCAGCUUCGCCCGCCAAGAUGCCCGACGAUACUGAGACGCGGCAGGACCGCCAGAAUCCGGUCAUCACCUUCAGUUCCUUCGAGGAGGACGACGACUACGAGGUGGAGGAGGACCCCAGCGGCAACGGCACCAUCAGGAGGAAGAAGGGCACCCUCCGGAAGGGCCACUCGCUCACGGUCCCUUCGGUCAACCUCGUGGACGAACCCAAGAGACCGCCUCUCUAGGUCGCUCGUCGCCUCCACGUCCCCGUCCUCGUCCCCCGUCCUCUUAUUUUGCCUCCUCCUCCUCCUCCUCCUCCUCCUCCCUAAUCGCCCUAAGGGGCCAUGGAGUGACCGUCACGUCCGGGGCCUUCGAGGUGGGGCUUGAAGGGCCUCCUCGAGGAAUCCUUCAGGAAGUUGAGGACAUAGCCGUUGGUGAGACGACGCAUAAUAUCUGUACAUCUGUCUGAGGAAUAAGAAAGUGUUAUGUUGAUUUAGAAACACUUGGAGGAUAAAUAGAAAAUAUUAAUAAAGACAGCAAAGUACAGUGGGAUUAAGCUGAUAAAGAUAUUUCAGAAUUUUUAUUUAAAAGAAUUCUAGGAUUUUAAAAUUUAUUUUCUUUAAAGAAAUAUCGAAAUUUUGAAACUUUUCCGAAAGUCACAGGAAAAAAUAUUGUACAAACUCGAGUGUUGGGGAAAAAAUCUGUAAACAUUAAUAAAAAAUAAGCUUUCAAUGUUGUAUAUUUUUUUUUCUUCUUCUUUAUAUGAUGAAUUGGAAAAGGCAGGUCCUAUUUUCAAUUAUGAUAUUUAUUUCUCUUUGUUUUAUUUAUUUCUAAUUUAAGGGUUUACCUUUUGGAUAUUUAUAUAUAAAAAACACUAUUUUUACAGAGACAAAAGUUGAAGUUUGCGGUGAAUGGUUUGUGUACUAGGGAGCGCAAUAGUAAUGUUUCUUACUGUUUAUCAAAUGCAAAUAAAGUUACAAGUGGAA